AUAAACCUGAGUUUGAGAAUUUGAAUUCACCGUCCAAUAACAAUCUCUUUCCUGUGAACAAAUAAACCAUCGAAAGGAACACGGCGGUCUCCUUAAUACUCUCUCUGCCAAAGGUAAUUUGUCUCUUUGUGUCCUUCAUUCCGUGGAACCAACCUCCUCCCUGUGCCUGAUUAAAAUGGACCAAACACAAUGACAGAAGUCCAUUUUACCAGCUGUAUUAUUUAGCAGCAGCUGCAGCAUCAAAAACGUCCCUCUGUCCACACACAAUUAGAGGCGGUCUCUGUUGCUUUCCUGUCCUAAUCAGUCUGAGAGCGACCAGGGAAAUAAUCUCCGGCGCAAAUAUUUGUUCUUUGUAAACAACAGGUUGUACUCCACCAUUACUGAUUCAUAUUUAAUUCUGUUUGUUUUUGUUUUUUUGUGGUUUGUCCUCUGGUUGCUUUGGAAACUGUUGGGUUUAAAUGAAGAACAAUGUUCACCUGGUGAUUGGACGCGUUGGAAAAUAAAAGAUUUCAGGAGCACAAUAACAGGUUUGGCACAAAGGGACCGUCAACGCCGGCCACUGCCGUCCUUCAGCAGCCAAUGUUUGUCAACCGGCAAAAUGAAGACCGCAGUAGAGCCGAGGGUGGAAACCAGUGUCUGGGAGAAACAUUUUCAAUUAUGUUCGCGUGCUGUGCAGUAAAAGGCCCCAGAGGGCAGGAACAAUGAGGGAGGCCGUAAAGCACGACAUGUAAGUGAAACCCUUCUGUCUUACCUUAAAGAGUCGGUGGUG